rnacentral:lncRNA from 1 species
CUCCGGAGCCACAGCUUCCCGACCUACGUGGAGCUUCCGUCUCUUUUCUGUAUAUAAAUCGCUUCCCCAACCCCAUGCCAAAGAGAACUCCAAAUAACAACACAAGCUUAGCUUUUGCUUUAGAAGUUUCUAGAAUUUAGUUGAUGCUAUUGGAGCUAUCAUGAACUGAUACAGUCCCCGUGGGGAGUGACUGUAUGAGCUCGAACUGGACUUGGACAUUUCUCCAGCCCUCUGUGGUUCCAGUUGAGAAAAAUCCAGUCCUUCCAUGAGACCUCGGUACACACAGAACUCCUCCUACCACGUGCAACCUUAUUCUCGGCUGAGCAACUCAUAAAUCGCAUAACAAAAACAGUGAUUGAUG